GGAAUAUUGCACAAUGGGCGAAAGCCUGAUGCAGCGACGCCGCGUGAGUGAAGAAGUAUUUCGGUAUGUAAAGCUCUAUCAGCAGGGAAGAUAAUGACGGUACCUGACUAAGAAGCCCCGGCUAACUACGUGCCAGCAGCCGCGGUAAUACGUAGGGGGCAAGCGUUAUCCGGAUUUACUGGGUGUAAAGGGAGCGUAGACGGCAUGGCAAGUCUGAAGUGAAAACCCAGGGCUCAACCCUGGGACUGCUUUUGAAACUGAGUAGCUAGAGUGCAGGAGAGGUAAGCGGAAUUCCUAGUGUAGCGGUGAAAUGCGUAGAUAUUAGGAGGAACACCAGUGGCGAAGGCGGCUUACUGGACUGUAACUGACGUUGAGGCUCGAAGGCGUGGGGAGCAA
rnacentral:rRNA from 1 species